rnacentral:lncRNA from 1 species
GAUUGCCUAGAGCCUCUUUAAUUGUUUUUACUACAGGUGAAACAAUCCUAAUUGGGGAUGCUCACUUAGGGAAAGCAAACCCACCCAGACACAUUCAGGAAGAAGCAACCUCCCAAAUUAUACUCACACAUCCCCUUUUUUAGGAUGCGCACAAAGCUUAUUCUCUGGACUGCAAACUGAACUCUUCUGCUGAAAUGGUUUUUGUUCCCCUCGCAAAGUCUCUACCAGGUCAACAGACAAGAAAAGUAUUCUAAGAUGCUUUGAGAUCCUCUGAACAGCUCAUCUCCAUUUCUUCUUUUUUUCUAUCUCUAUCCCUAUCUCUGUCUCUCUUUGUCUCAGUCAGAGUGUCUCUGCCUCUCUCUCCUUACCUUAUCUCCAUCCCCAUUUUCUCUCUCUCUCUCUCAAUCUGUUUCUCUUUGUCUCUGUCUCAUUCUUUCUGUUUCUGUCUCUCCCUUUCUCUGUCUCUCCCUAUCUGUCCCUCUGUUUCUGUCUGUCUGUCUCAGUCUCUGUUUCUCUUUGUCUCUGUCUCAUUCUCUCUGUCUCUCUCUUCAUCUCUCCCUCUCUCUCUCUCCCCCAUCUCCAUCUUUCUCUUUCUGUCUCCCCCUUUCUCUGUCUCUGUCUCUGUCCCUCUGUUUCUCUCUCUCUGCCUCUCUCUUCAUCUCUCCCUCUCUCUCUCUCCCCCAUCUCCAUCUUUCUCUUUCUGUCUCCCCCUUUCUCUGUCUCUGUCUCUGUCCCUCUGUUUCUCUCUCUCUGUCUCUGUCUCUCUCUUCAUCUCUCCCUCUCUCUCUCUCCCCCAUCUCCAUCUUUCUCUUUUUGUCUCCCCCUUUCUCUGUCUCUGUCCCUCUGUUUCUCUCUCUCUGUCUCUUUUUGUCUCUGUCUCUCUUUUCAUCUCUCCCUCUCUCUCUCCCCUACCUCCAUCUUUCUCUUUCUGUCUCUCCCUUUCUCUGUCUCUCUUUCUGUCCCUCUGUUUUUUUUCUCUCUCUGUCCCUUACAGUGCUGUCAGCCAUUAUUAUUGGGGCCCUUUACUUACUUCCUUUUCAUUUGGGUACAUUUUUUCUUAUCUAUAAGGCUGUGCAUCCUUGAGGACAGGAGUGAGUCAUAAUCAUCUUUGAAGGCCCUUUCUGGACCUAGCAAGAUUAUUUCCCCAGGUAUUUUGUAUAUCUUUUUAUACAUAGAU